rnacentral:lncRNA from 10 species
AGGGGCCUCUACCUACCUGCAUUCUCUAGCUGCUGAAACUGUGUUUUGAUAAGAUAAGAGGAAACAGGGCAAGAAGGAACUUAGAGUCCUAGAAACUGAACUAUAGCUCUUGUUGCUGUAAAGCCCUCAUCAAACAGGUCUGGCACAAAGAAGGGGUCCUUAAUUUGUCAAGUACUAAGCAUUCAAUGAAGAACAAAAAGGCCUGGCUCCUACCUGAAGAACUUUCAUCUUAUGGAUCACAGACAAAAAUAGGCCAUUACAAGAAAGGGUGUUAAGUGCUUACAGUAACAACAGUCGUGAGGUAUUUGGACCCAGAAAUCCUACUUCUAGAAAUCUAUCCUAAGGAAAUACUGUGUAAAUCAUGUCUGCAUUUCAGAUAUGAUUUGUUCACUCAGCGAACAU